GAUCUUCUGGAUGUUCUCAUGGGACCUGCUGGGUGUUGUCAUGGGUUCUUCUGGACGUUCCCCUGGGAUUUGGUGGAUGCUUUCCAUGGGAUCUGCUGGGUGUUCCUGUGGGAUAUUCUGGAUGUUUCCGUGGAAUUUGGUGGAUUCCCAUGGGAUCUGCUGGAGGUUCCUGUGGGAUCUGCUGGAGGUUCCUGUGGGAUCUGGUAGGUGUUCCUGUGAGAUCUUCUGGAGCUUUCCAUGGAAUUUGGUGGAUGCUUCCCAUGGGAUCUUCGGGAUGUUCCUGUGGGAUCUGCUGGAGGUUCCUGUGGGAUCUCAGGGUGUUCCCCUGGGAUCUGGUGGCCCUGGCUCCCUCCUGGACCCUUCUCCUGUUGCUUUUCUCCUCUGAGCAGUCUCAGCUGUCCCAGCCCUCCCUCAGCAGCACCCUGGGAUUCCCCCCGACCUUGUGGCAUCUCCUGGGAGCCUUCUGGGGUUCCCUGAGAGAAUUUGGUGNAUUUAAAGUUUUGUUAUUUUACUUUUUAUCAAAACUUUUUAUUAAAACUUUCCUGUUUCCGACACUG
rnacentral:lncRNA from 1 species